rfam:Dipodomys ordii contig_67175, whole genome shotgun sequence.
GGGAAGGUGGCUUAGUGGCAGAGUGCUUGCCUCGCAUGCAUGAGGCCCUGGGUUUGAUUCCCCAGCACAUCUC